UAGGCGGAUUAGAAGUUAGAGGUGAAAUCCCAGGGCUCAACCCUGGAACUGCCUUUAAAACUCCUAGUCUUGAGUUCGAGAGAGGUGAGUGGAAUUCCAAGUGUAGAGGUGAAAUUCGUAGAUAUUUGGAGGAACACCAGUGGCGAAGGCGGCUCACUGGCUCGAUACUGAC
rnacentral:rRNA from 1 species